GAUGAACGCUGGCGGUGUGCCUAAUACAUGCAAGUCGAGCGAACGGACGAGAAGCUUGCUUCUCCGAUGUUAGCGGCGGACGGGUGAGUAACACGUGGAUAACCUACCUAUAAGACUGGGAUAACUUCGGGAAACCGGAGCUAAUACCGGAUAAUAUUUUGAACCGCAUGGUUCAAAAGUGAAAGACGGUCUUGCUGUCACUUAUAGAUGGAUCCGCGCUGCAUUAGCUAGUUGGUAAGGUAACGGCUUACCAAGGCAACGAUGCAUAGCCGACCUGAGAGGGUGAUCGGCCACACUGGAACUGAGACACGGUCCAGACUCCUACGGGAGGCAGCAGUAGGGAAUCUUCCGCAAUGGGCGAAAGCCUGACGGAGCAACGCCGCGUGAGUGAUGAAGGUCUUCGGAUCGUAAAACUCUGUUAUUAGGGAAGAACAUAUGUGUAAGUAACUGUGCACAUCUUGACGGUACCUAAUCAGAAAGCCACGGCUAACUACGUG
rnacentral:rRNA from 1 species